AAGUGGCAUUAAGCCACAUUUCACGCAGCAGUAGAGCAAAAAGGAGAAAAAGGUGAGUGGGACUAAAACCCUCGCAUUAGGGUUACACAAGCCCUAUGUGGCUUCUUUGGCUCCGUAAUGGUGUCGGCCAUUGACGUUGCGAAGGGGGAAAGAAGAUGGCGGUAACGGAGUGGGUUGCGAAUAAGGAGGAGGUUCAUGGCAGCUUGACCCGCUUUGGCUUGCCGUGGCUGCGCACGACAAGUGCGUAAGGAAGAAGAUGGACACGCAUACCGCUGUCACCGAAAAUCACCUUCGGUACCGCCGUCGCCGGAAAUCGCCUCCAGUGGCGGCAAACGGCGGUGCACGGCUCACGGCGGCUUAUUCAUUUAUAUUUCCCUGUGAAGAAAACCAAAUAUCAACCAAAUGGUAUUUACCUGAAGUGGACUACAUUGGUGAAGACCAUCCCUAUGUCAUAAGAAGAAAAGAUAAAAUUAUUUACUUAAUGACAAGAAUCAACAAGAAAAUAUUUGGAAGUGACCUUUGGAAUGUUGUAAUCUUGAUUUGUAACUAUUUGUGGUUCAACAUGUGUUUGACAUGUCAAUUCUUUGAAGAAUUGAUAAUGUUAAUUUAUACUUAUAAUUAUUGGUCAUUUUAUAUUUUAUUAUAUCAAUUUUCUUUUAGCUUUUAACUAGCUCAGUCCUUAUUUUAAUGAUUUUUAGUAAUUAAUUGGAAUGCGAUUACCAUUAAUUGUACAAGAAAUGACACAUGGAAGUGAAGUAAGAAGAAUUAUUGAAGGCCAUGUCGAAGAUUACACAAUGCUAGAUGUCAUCAAUCUUGGCAAAAAAAACCUUUGUCUCGUUCUUACUGGGCGCACCUCUACCCACACUUGGCUUGACCCUUGUAGAGAAGUUUUUUUUCUUAUUUGUGUGCCUAUGCCCAAUGUAUGUUAGCCUACAUGAGGCGUCAUUUUUAUUACAUGAUACUUUUGGAACGUUUUAUUCUUCUCUUUGAUGGUUUGAGGACACUUUUCAUCAUUUUGAAGCUAGGAUGAGUUUGGAGACUUCCUAAGGCUGCUAGGGUUUUUACAUCACUUCCAAGCUCUCCUCUCCACCUUCCAUGAUCCCCUUCGUUUUCUUUUUUACACUCUUUGUGACAAUGAGGAGCUAAUUUCAUCAUUGUUGAGAUUAGAUGUAACCAACCAAACUCUCAUGUAACUUAUAUUAAUUAUAUAUGCAUGUGGGUGUGUGCACAUGUGUGUCUUUCCAUUUCAA